GAACCAUGCAAUACUAGCUGUUCCUCUAUAGAAUAGACACCGUAAAGGGGCAUAUCAAUAAAUGGUAGAUUUUUUCGGAAUUGGCAACUGGGUUACAAAGACUAUCCGACUCAGCUGGCUUGGCCCAUUUUUUGCUAAUUUUUUUAUUAAUUUACAGCUAUUUACCAGUUAGUUGUUAGAUCCACAAUCCUAUACAUUGAUCUAUGAAGUGAAGAAAAAC